UACGAAGGGGGCUAGCGUUGUUCGGAAUUACUGGGCGUAAAGCGCACGUAGGCGGAUAUUUAAGUCAGGGGUGAAAUCCCGGGGCUCAACCUCGGAACUGCCUUUGAUACUGGGUAUCUUGAGUAUGGAAGAGGUAAGUGGAAUUGCGAGUGUAGAGGUGAAAUUCGUAGAUAUUCGCAGGAACACCAGUGGCGAAGGCGGCUUACUGGUCCAUUACUGACACUGAGGUACGAAAGCGUGGGGAGCGAACAGG
rnacentral:rRNA from 1 species